GUCUAUAUAGUUUAAUAAAAACAUUAAUUUUGUAAAUUAAUAUUACUUUCAAGUAAUAGACU
rnacentral:tRNA from 1 species